AUACGUAGGGAGCCAGCGUUGUCCGGAUUUACUGGGUGUAAAGGGCGCGUAGGCGGAUUGGUCAGUCAGAGGUGAAAUCCCGCAGCUUAACUGCGGAGCUGCCUUUGAUACUGCCGAUCUUGAGUUCAGAAGAGAGAGAUGGAAUUCCAGGUGUAGUGGUGAAAUACGUAGAUAUCUGGAAGAACACCAGUGGCGAAGGCGAUCUCUUGGUCUGACACUGACGCUGAGGCGCGAAAGCGUGGGUAGCAAACAGGAUUAGAUACCCUGGUAGUCCACGCUGUAAACUAUGAAUACUAGAUGUUGGGCCGAAUGGUUCAGUGUCGCAGCUAACGCAUUAAGUAUUCCACCUGGGGAGUACGAUCGCAAGGUUGAA
rnacentral:rRNA from 1 species